UUUUCUUGGGCCCCACUGUUCAUCUAGUUAAUCAGCAAUUUGACUAUGUAAAGACUCAUACACGUUUGGAAGUUGAACAAUAUUACGGAGGAGCGUUAAUGAAUGGAACUCUGCUUGUUGGGAGAAACAAAUAAAGGAGCAUGAUGUUCUGGUUAUGAUCCCCCAAAUUCUAUUGGAUACCUUGAGGAAAGCAUUCUUGAUUUUAGAGAUGAUGUCCUCAAUGAUAAUAGACGAGUGCCACCGGUAACCAUCCGUAUGC